AGAAAUAUCUCCAAGAAUGGCUUCUAAAGCAUUGACAUUUCUCUUCGUUAUUUGUCUCAUUCAAUAUGGUGGUUUGUUUGAGGCUGAGGCAAGAAAUGUGGUACAUGUGUUUUGUGAAUCCGAUGAAGAGUGUCUAUACAUUUGUCCGGAUCCACUACCGGGCGUCUAUUGUGAUUUCGAGACUAACCUAUGUGUUUGUAAUGUUAAUACUUCGCUAAAAAAUCAAAUUAAAGUGUGAAAAUGGUGAAAAAACCAUUUCUUACAUUUACAAAGAGUGUGGUUUAAUAUAAUACCCCACUUAAAAUAAAUAUAAUCUACUACUCUUUGUUUGUU